UACGUAGGGUGCGAGCGUUAAUCGGAAUUACUGGGCGUAAAGUGUGCGCAGGCGGCUCUGCAAGUCGAGUGUGAAAGCCCCGAGCUUAACUUGGGAAUUGCGCUCGAAACUACUUGGCUGGAGUGUGGCAGAGGAAGGUGGAAUUCCAGGUGUAGCGGUGAAAUGCGUAGAGAUCUGGAGGAACACCGAUGGCGAAGGCAGCCUUCUGGGCCAACACUGACGCUCAUGCACGAAAGCGUGGGGAGCAAACAGG
rnacentral:rRNA from 1 species